AUUUAAGAACUUCAGUUUUCUGCUUCAAUUUGUUGUUAAGGGAGCUGAGAUACUUUCAGAAGCUUUUAUACAGGAGAGGCACACUGAGAGGGGAAGAGAGAAUGCUCCCGAGAUGGGCUGAGGAGUGGCAGAUGGCGUUCAACCCAGAAAAGUGAGAAGUGAAUCACUUGAGAAGAUCCAACAUGAAGGCAGAAUAAGAUCAUAAGGCACAGGAGCAGAAUCAGGCCAUUCAGCCCAUCAAGUCCACUCCACCAUUCCAUUAUGGCUGAUCCUGGAUUCCACUCAACCCCAUAUACCUGCCUUGUCAAUGUCCUGACCAAUCAGGAAACUAUCAAUUUUCGCUUUAAAUAUACCCUGGGACUUGGCCUCCACAUCUAUCUGCGGCAGUGCAUUCACUAUUCUCUGGCCAAAAUAAAUCCUCCUUACCCCUGUUCUAAAGGGUUGCCCCUCAAUUUUGAGGCUGUGCCCUCUAGUUCUGGAUACCCCCACUAUAGGAAACAUCCUCUCCACAUCCAAUUUAUCUAGUCCUUUCAGCAUUCAGUGGGUUUCAAUCAGAUCCCAACUCAUUCUUACAGGCCCAGAGCUGUCAAACGCACCUCGUAUGUUAACCCCUUCAUUCCCAGAAUCAUCCUCGUGAACCUCCUCUGUCCAACAACAACACAUCCUUUCUGAGAUAUGGGGUCCAAGACUUAACAGUGCUCCAAGUACUGCCUGGUUAGUGUCUUAUAAAGGCUCAGCAUUAUCUCCUCACUUUUAUAUUCUAUUCUCCUUGAAAUAAAUGCCAACAUUGCAUUUGCCUUCUUUACCACAGACUCAAACUGUAAAUUAACCUUAUGGGAGUCUUGAACGAGACUCAGUCCUCUGCACCUCUGAUGUUUAAACCUUCUCCCCAUUUAAAUAAUAGUCUGCACUAUUGCUCCUUUUACCAAAGUGCAUUAUACAUUUUCCAACACUGUAUUCCAUCUGCCACUUUUUUGCCCAUUCUUCCAAUUUGUCUAAGUCCUGCUGCAAUCACACUGAUUUAUCAGCACUACCUACCCCUCCACCUAUCUUCACCACAAAACUUUGCCGCAAAACCUUGCCACAAAAUCAUCUUUUCCAUUAUCUAAGUAAUUGACAAACAAUGUGAAAAGUAGCGGUCCCAAUACUGUCUCCUGAGGAACACCACUAGUCACAGGCAGCCAACCAGAAAAGCCCCCUUUAUUCCUACUAGCUGCCUCCUGCCUGUCAGCCAUUCCUCUAUCCAUGCCAGUGUCUUUCCUGUAAUGUCAUGAGAUUUUAUCUUGUUAAACAGCCUCCUGUGGCGUCUUAUCAAAUGCCUUGUGAAAACCUAAGUAAAUGAGCUUAGAUAAGCUGCCUCUUCUUUCUCCACCCUGCCUGUUAUUUCCUCAAAAAUCUCUAACAGAUUUAUUAUUAUCACUUAUUUUAUCUUCAAGUACCCUGAAACCCCUUACUUAAUAAUUGACUCCAACACUUUCCCAACCACUGAGGUUAGGCUAACUGGCCUAUAAUUUCCUCUCUUUUGCCUUCCUCCCUUCUUAAAGAGUCUUCCAGUCCUCUGGGACCAUGCCAGAGUCAAGUGAUUCUUGAAAGAUCAUGACCAAUGCAUCCAUUAUCUCUUCAGCAACCUCCCUCAGGACUCUAGGAUGUAGUCCAUCUGGCCCAGGUGACUUAUCCACCUUAAGACCUUUGAGUUUGCCUGGCGCUUUUGUUCUUUGUAAUAGCAAUGACACUCACUGCUGCUCCCUGACACUCACAGACCUCUGGACUGUGGACUGUCUUCCACAGUGAAGACUGAUGCAAAGUACUUACUGAGUUCACCUGCUAUUUAUUUGUCCCCCCGUUACUACCCUUGACAUUUAAGAACUUCUUCUUCUGUGGGAGAUAGCAAUCCUGCGCCUUGUGAAAUACUGUAUUCCCAGAAACUUCUGCUGUCAUCUCCACAAGUAUCCCCCUCUAACCUUUUCCCGAGUAGGCUCAAGCACAAGCUGCUCUAAAAAGCACCAACCUGAUUUUCCCCCAUUAUAUUCCUGACAUUAUCAGAAACAGAAUCGGCUUUAUCACCACCAGCAUGUGAUGUGAAAUUUGUUAACUUAGCAGCAGCAGUUCAAUACAAUACAUAAUCUUGCAGAGAGAGAGAGAGAGAGAGAGAGAGAGAAAAUAAAUAUAAUAAAACAUAAUAAUAAAUAAACAAGUAAAUCAAUUACAUAUAUUGAAUAGAUUUUUUUAAAUGUGCAAAAACAGAAUAAGUGAGGUAGUGUCCAAAGCUCCAAUGUCCAUUUAGGAAUCAGAUGGCAGAGGGGAAGAAGCUGUUCCUGAAUCACUGAGUGUGUGUCUUCAGGCUUCUGAUGGUAACAGUGAGAAAACGGCAUGCCUUGUGUGCUGGAAGUCUUUAAUAAUGGAUGCUGCCUUUCUGAGACACCGCUCCCUUGAGGUGUCCUGGGUACUUUGUAGGCUAGUGCCCAAGAUGGAGCUGACUAGAUUUACAACCUUCUGCAGCUUCUUUUGGUCCUGUGCAGUAGCCCCUCCGUACCAGACAGUGACGAAGCCUGUCAGAAUGCUCUCCACGGUACAACUAUAGAAGUGUUUGAAGUUUUAUGUUUGUGCACCAAGAAGAGUUGAUCAUGAGGCAUACUCCUCCACCUCUGCUUUUGAGAGACCCUAUCAAUCUAUCCUGACAGUGUAUAGUAAACCCAUCGAUCUGAAUCUCUGCAUCUGGUACAGAAGGGGUUAAGCAGGAUUCCCUUAUAUUACUCUUAUUACAUGCCCUUUCCAGCUCCCUUUGCAAUCUCAAUCCCACAUCUUGGCUACAAUUUGGAGGCCUAUAUAUGAUUCCCAUAAAUGUUUUUUUUACCUUUGCAGCCUCACCCACAAAGAUUUGACAUCCUCUGACCUCUUUAUAAGGAUGUACUGUAAUUAAAUCUCUUACCAACAGAGUCACACUACCACCUAUGCCUUCCUGCCUGUCCUUUAGUUACAAAGUAUAUCCUUUGAUAUAAAGCUCCAAUCAUGACCUUCUUUCAGCCACAACUCAGUGAUGUCCAUAACGUCAUAUUGCCCAAACUCUAAUUGCGUCAUGAGUUCAUCUACCUUCCUCUGAGUACAAAGUGUAUUUAAAUACAGCAUCGUCAGUUCUGCAUUCUUUGCCCUUUUGAAUAUUGCCUCUCUAGUACAAUUUAACUCAUUGCUCUGUCUGCAUUUGAACUCAAUCAUCGGCUUGUCCUUACAUUCAUAUUGCACCCAUCAUCUACUUGUAAACCUGCUGGCUCAUCCUCAGCUCUGUCAUACCAAUUCCCAUCCCCUUGCCAUUUUAGUUUACACCACUCCCAAUAGUUCUAGCAAACCUGCCCGCAACGAUAUUGGUCCCCCUCAGACUCAGGUGCAAACCAUCCCUUUUGUACAGGUCCCACCUGCCCCAGAAGAGGUCCCAAUGAUCCAGAAAUCUGAAUCCCUGCCCCCUGCUCUAAUUCUUUAGCCACGCAUUUAUCUGCCACCUUAUUCUAUUCCUAUCCUCACUGUCACGUGGCACAGGCAGCAAUCCUGAGAUCACUAGCCUUGAGGUCCUGCUUCUCCCUGUAUUCUGUUUUCAGGACCUUCUCACUCUUUCCACCUGUGUCACUGGUACCAAUAUGUACCACAAAUAGAGUUUUUGGCAAGAUUCUUAGCAGUGUGGAGGAACUGAGGGAUAUUCAUCAAUCCACCAAGGGGUGAGUUGAGGGUUGCCAUGGACUUCUCGGUCUGAAGGGCUGUGUCAGGCAUGUGGCACGUUAGCCUUUAUUAGUCAGGGGAUUGAGUUCAAGAGCCACGAGGUUAUGUUGCAGCUCUCUAAAAUCCUGGUCAGGCUACACUUGAAAUAUUGUGAUCAGUUCUGGUCUUUCAUUAUAGGAAGGAGGUGGAAGCUUUAGAGAGGGUGCAGAUGAGACUUAGCAGGACACUGCCUGGAUUAGAGAGCGUGUCUUAUAAGGAUAGCAUGAGCAAGUUAAGGCUUUUCCCUUUGGAGCAAAUGAGGAUGAGAGGUGACUUGAUAGAGAUGAUAAGAGGCAUUGAUCAAGUGGGUAGCUGAAGACUGUUCCCCAGGACAUAAAUAGCUAUUACCAGGGAGCAGAACUUUGAGGUGAUUGUAGGAAAGUAUAAGGAGGGUGUCAGAUGUAAGUUCUUUACACCGAGAGUGGUGGAUGCACAGAACACCCUGCCAGGGGUGGUAGGAGAGGCAGAUACAUUAGGGGCAUUUAUGAAACUCUUAGGUACGUGGAUGAUUGAAAAAUGGAGGGCAAUGUGAGAGGGAAGAGUUAGAUUGAUCUUAGAGUAGGUUAAAAGUCUGGCACAGCAUUGUGGGCUGAAGGGCCUCUGCUGUACUGUAUGCUUCCACAUUCUAUGGAGACACAAAGAGAUGACAGAUACUGGAACCUGGAUCAACAACCACUGCUAUAGGAACUCAGGGUCUCAACCUGAAACUCUGACCAUUUCUCUCCCUCUACCCCCAAAGCUGCUCAAUCUGCUGAGUCCCUCCAGCACAUUGAUGCUCUAGAUUUGAGUAUUUUACUAAAUCUCCAUUGUAAUUUCUCUAAAGUUUAUAACAUUCUCCCCAUAUUCUCAUCAACUCCCUUCAGAUUCAACUACAUAUUGGGAGCAGUUUACAAUGGCCAAUCAGCCUACCAACCCACACAUGUUUUGGAAGAAACGACAACUCAUAGUCUUCGGGGAGAAUGUACAAACUGCACACAGACAGCACCUGAGGGCGGGAUUGAGCCUGUAUCUGAUUCUGCAAGGCAGAAAAUGCUCCAUAUUUUCAAUAUGAACCAGUCCCUUCAGAAUCACAGAGAGAUAGUAGCACAGACACAGCCAUUCAAACCAAGGCAACCCUCACCCGAUGGAGUUAUUGAUGGACCUGGAGGUGAUAUUAUUCAGAAGGAUCUUUGGAAGUCAAAGCAGUGCUGUGAUUAUAACAUUUUAUUAGAUGUUCAUAACAAGAUUACAGUCUCUCUACCUGUAUGUAAGAAAGAACCCACAGUAGAGGAACAAAAAUACAGAAGACUAAAAGCAUGUACCACCAGGCUCAAGGACAGCUUCUACCAACUUUUAUCAAACUCUCGAACCCUUGAAUGAUAAGAUGGACUCUUGAGCUUUCAGUCUAUCUCGUUACGAUCUUACACUUCAUUGUUUACCUGCACUGCACUUUGUCCCAGUGGGUCCAGGUCCUUGCUUAGGCAGGAGUUGAUUCCAGUCAUGAUUACUUCUCAAAGCACUUCACACAGUAGAUGGGUGAUGAUGGUAUCUCCACUGGGUGAUAGAUAUUGAGGCAGCUCAUGCUGCUCUUCUUGGGCACUGGUGUGAUUGUCACCCUUUUGAAGCAGGUGGGAACGUCCAACUGCAAGAGUGAGAGAUUGAAGAUAUCUUUGGACACUCUAUCCAGUUGGCACCUACCUAGAAACACCAUCAGGGCUGACGUGAGGGUUCAGCCUCUUGAUGUCAGCCUCCAAGACAGAUAUCACAGGGUCACCAGACAAUGCAGGAAUUUGCACAGGUGUAGUUUUGUUCUCCCUUUCAAAUUGUGCAUAAAAGACAUUGAGCUCAUCAGGGAGUCAUUUGCAUCAAUGAACCUCACAAAUGUUGUUGGUUCUGGCAUCAAUACAGCUAGAUUUUCUAGACCAACAGCUAAUUAUACCGACAAUUUAAUGAUGAUUUAGACCCUAAUCCAACAUUCAUGAUUCAAGAUUGUUUAUUGUCACUCUUCAGUACACGAGUGUAAAGGGAAAUAAAAUGAUUGUUACUCUGGAUCCAAUGCAGCACAAAGAACAAACAAAAAACCGCAAAACAUAGAAAAUCAGCCUUACGGAACACAAUGUACACUCACUGGCCACUUCAUUAUGUACAUCUCUGCACCUGCUCGUUUAUGCAAGUAUCUAAUCAGCCACUCACGUGGAAGCAACUCAAUGCAUAAAAGCAUGGUCGAGAGGUUCAUACAGCACAGAAAAGUACACCAUAGAAACAGCCCCUUAAGCCUGUGCCAAACCACUUAAAUUGCCUACUCCCAUCAACCUGCACAGUGCCAAGAAGCUUAAUGGUGUUGGUCCAUGGCAUAAAAAAGGCUGGGAAACCCUGUGUAAAGAACGGUGCAGUAAAAAACACUGAGUGAGCGGCAGUUCUUUGGGCAAAAAUGCCUUGUUAAUGAGAGAAGUCAGAGCAGAAAGGCCAGACUGGUGCAAGCUGACACUAGGUGAUGUGUAUGUAGUGGUGGUAGGGGACACUCAUCACCCUGUGGCAAUAACAGGCAAUGUGUGUUUAGCCUCAGACUGAUCUUCUGAUCUGAAAAUAAUGGUGAUAAUUGCCUUUCAGGUGAAACGUACCAGUACAGAGGCCCUUGAUUCAGGACAGCAGCUUUGGGGUGGCAAUGGAAGGCUCAGCUUCUCAGAAGGUGCCUGGUGUUAACACAAUGGUGUUCAUCAGAUCGAAAACUCUGCAACGCAGCCUCAGACAUUGGGAGAAGCAGGCUCCAUCCCAGACCUCCAGAGAACCGGAUCUACCAGGCAGAGUAUCUGACCCAAAGUCAUCCAGCCUCAACCAACAAACCAGGCUCAGCACAUGGACGCCCAUAAUACACAAGGCAGCCAACCAACAGCUUUUUGAAGAGAGAGUGACCCUUGUGGGUCAUUGGUUUGACCUGUGGACCGACAAACAGAGAAAACAGUUUAUCCACAGUAUUUUAAAGCAUUGCACCAAAUCACAGCUCAAGUUUGCUCAGGAUUGGUUCACUGAAGCUGUCCCGAUAGACAAGGUGGACUUCACUGCUGUAAUGCCCCGCUUCCUGUCUCUCUACGUCUUCUCGUUCUUGAGUCCCAGACAGCUCUGCUUGGCCUCUCAAGUCAACUGGCACUGGCGAUUCCUGACUGAACAGGACUGUCUGUGGAUGCCCAAGUGUGUGAAACAUGGCUGGUUUCUACCCUACAGCCCCCCGGACUACGAGUAUGGGGCAUGGAAGCGACACUACAUUGCCUGUGUCCGCAGCCUGGAUUAUCUCACGCCAGCUGAGGCGGCCAGGGUGUACGGGGUUGUCGUUGAGCCCAAAGAGGCAACUUUGGAGAGGCAGAGUGAGAGGUCGCUGAGGAGGUGGAUUCAGGAACGUCUAACACGGCAGAAAAGGGACUCGCUGAGCAACCAACCUCCGUGGCUGAGCGGAAAGUGGACUACUCGUUGGUACAGCACAAGAGCACGACACAGCCCGACCCUGGUGAGGCCCAGGAGCAGUGCGUCACUGUGGCCGAUGGGUGAUCGAACCCAGGCCAGUGUGCCCCUCUCCCAUCUGCUGAGUGAAGAGAGCAUGGCCUUAGCCUCGCGGAGCCCGGCUCUGGGGAAGCACUGCCAGCUGGGAUCAGCGGUAACGCUGUGCACAGGGAAGAACCUCAGUGGUGGUGGUCCCUACCCGACGUCCCACAGCACGGCUGCCACGCCAGAGAACGGUACCUCUAACCACCCCCGACUGGUUCUCAUUUCGUCCAGGAUCCCGGCAUGGGAGGUGGCCCUGGACUGUGUGAGAGUCGAGGUGAUCCCUGUUGUGUAUGACCAUUGCGGAACGACGCUGGAGAGCCUCCUGUUUCGAGUGGAGCAGGUUCUGAGAGGCCGGAGAGCGAGGAGCAUUGGGAUACUCGCCGAGGGAGACUUGACUGAGCUGGACUUGGUCCAAGGCUGCAAGAUCAGUUCAAAGAAUCUUCCGGAUGCUAAGAUAAGAGAAUUCUGGGAGAAUCUGGCCAGCUGCAUACUGUCACAAGAAGAAGGAGGAGACAUCCACAUCUUUGUGCCUUUGGCUGCAUCAGAGGCAGGAAUGGAACUCCUGUCCCAGCUGUCUGCACUGACGGCUGUAUGCUACAACACACCUACAGGGAUGGUGACUGGAUCCUACCAACAUGUUUUCAGCGAGUGGCUGUGGGCAGCUGGGGACCCCUCUCCCCCAGCCAGGUAUUUCAAUGAGAAGAAGCUGCUGUCGUGGACCAGGAUGGCAGAAGUGAGUGAGGAACUGCAUGCGCACAUCCGCAAGGCGAUGGAACCGCACUGCAGACACUUGCAGAGACACCUCUGUGGGAGGCUGAUUGGACAGCUGAUGUUUGACUCGAUGAGCGCUGCUGGGGUACAACAACACCGGGAUAUUGCUCCAGCCUUAACUGAAGGACUGAUCGAAAUGUCAAGGGAGCAGCAGGAGGACCCUCUGGGAUUUCUCUCCAACUUCUUGAUGAGCAGAUCGAGGAACAACAAGUUAUUAAAACCUGGUGAAACCUUCCUGACAGAGGUUAAUGGAGGGAUAAUGCCACUGAAGGAAAGUGUCGCGGUGGAAAACGGAAGCGUGGACUGUACCACCAUCAAACAUCCACCUAGUGAAGGAAUAUUUGAGGAGCUGACCCACCUGAACAGGAGAUUAUUUGCCGGCAUUGUGGACAAGAGGACGCAGUUGGCCAAGGAAGCUUUGACCAGUGAGAGGGAAUACGUUCAGACCCUGGAGAUCGUGAAGAACGUUUACUGGGCUCCGCUCAAAGCCGCUGUGGCUUCUAACCGAGCCAUCCUGACCGUCACCAACAUUCACUGCAUCUUUACAUACAUCCUGUCCAUCUUGGAUCUCAACAGGAAUCUACUGGGCGAGCUAACUGAUCGCCUCCAUGAGUGGAGCCCUUCACAAUGCCUUGGAGAUGUCUUCAUCAGGUUCAGUAACAGACUCAGGGUGUACACAAACUACUUCAACAACUACGGAGCCGUGCUGAAGACCAUCGAUAAGUGUCGUGAAACAAUCCCGAGUUUCCGCGCCUUCCUGGCCAGGCAUGAACGAACUCCGGUGACCAAAAUGCUGAGCCUGCACGAGGUCCUGAUGACACCCGCCACCCGGUUCGAGGAGUACGCGGCACUGCUUCACGCUCUUCGGCUGAACACUCCUGCCGAGCAUGCAGAUCACCGUGACCUCACCACCGCCGUCACCGAUCUGGAAUGCUUUCGGGAUUACAUCCGACAGCUGAAGGUGCAGAAGGAGAGAGAAGAGCAGAUGAUGGAAGCCCAAACCAGCAUUGGCGGAUCUCCUAUCCUUCUAGAGGGGAACAGGUACCUUAUCCAUGUUCAAGACAUGUUUCAGAUGAACGUCCCUGAUGGAAAGGUCUGUGCUACCUUAAGGAUUUACGAGUACAUCAGUGACCUGACUCUCUUCCUUUUCAACGAUGCCCUUCUUUUUGCCUCAAGAAGGGUUUCCCAUCUGCCCUUCAAACGGAAUCCGAAGACAUCGCUCCGGUUCCUGGCAUCCGUGGCUCUCUCCAGGCUUUUCGUUGAAGACAUUCCAGAUUCCAAAUAUGUCCGAAAUGCAUUUGUACUGCAAGGGCUGAAGCGGCAUUGGAUUUGUGCGAUGGAGAGGGAGGAGGACAAAAUCACCUGGCUGUCCAUAUUAGAAAGUGCAAUUCAUGCUGCUGUUGAGGAGACCUGAUCUCUCAAUAACUGAUGUGACCCCCUUGAACAGCAAAAACUUCAACCAAAUAUUUCUGGUAACUGUUGAUCAGUCCUGCACAUCGGCUUGGAGGAAUUUUAGGCCUUUCUUCCUUGCAAAACUGCUUCAGCUCUGGGAUGUUGGUGAGCUUCCUUGCAUGAACUGCUUGCUUCCGGUCCUUCCGCAACAUUUCUAUAGGAUUAAGGGAAGAAAAGCUUUUGACUUCGUUGGCUUGCAAUGAGCACGCCAAGUCCACACACAUCUUCCAACAGUGAUGGAUAUUCACUUUCCAGGGUCCAAAAGGCUAACUCAGCUUUCUAGUGCAGCAGCAUAACUUUUCCAAAGGGUCAGAAAUGUUGGUGAUAAAGAAUUCCUUCUCGCAAAUAUUCCUUGCUCAGCUUGUUGUAAACAAGAACCAGUUUUAAGUCCUUCAUGUAAAUUGCAAGUAAGUUAAAAGGAUAGUUUUGCAAACAACACAGGCUGCUGAGAGAUGUGGCUUGCAAAGUGACAAUGAGACAUCCUUGUCUGCAUCAGCCAAACAUAAGACAACGGGUUAUAUUAGCCAACCAAGCAAAACAGGCCAAGUCAAUUAGUUCAAGGAUGUUUGCAGACCAGACUGAUAAUGUCACUUAGCACAUCAAAUGUAGUCAUAGAUAUAGCUGAACAAUCAAUUGUUGGGAUAUUCAUGUAUUCAGAAUUGGCUCUCACAGCAUUUAGGUAUCUGGGAUCUCUGUCCCCAGAAGAUUUUAGACCAACUGUGUGAACUACAGUACUUUAUCCCAACUGAAGUAUCUGAAAAUUACCAUAUAUAAAUAAAUCGACCAGCAGCAAAGUAUUAGAAAGCACUGGGGAUUGUUGGGAAUGACAGAACAAAAAAUUAAUUUAUCAACCUUUGGUUUCUGCACAAGAUUGUACCUGUGGUUGGAAUUCUUUGUAGUAUAUAUAUAUUUUUUGUAAUUCUGAGAUCUUUCAUAAAAUCAGAA